rnacentral:rRNA from 1 species
AGAGUUUGAUCCUGGCUCAGGAUGAACGCUGGCGGCGCGCCUAACACAUGCAAGUCGAACGGCACCUAUCUUCGGAUAGAAGCGAGUGGCGAACGGCUGAGUAACACGUGGAGAACCUGCCCCCUCCCCCGGGAUAGCCGCCCGAAAGGACGGGUAAUACCGGAUACCCCCGGGCGCCGCAUGGCGCCCGGGCUAAAGCCCCGACGGGAGGGGAUGGCUCCGCGGCCCAUCAGGUAGACGGCGGGGUGACGGCCCACCGUGCCGACAACGGGUAGCCGGGUUGAGAGAUCGACCGGCCAGAUUGGGACUGAGACACGGCCCAGACUCCUACGGGAGGCAGCAGUGGGGAAUCUUGCGCAAUGGGGGGAACCCUGACGCAGCGACGCCGCGUGCGGGACGGAGGCCUUCGGGUCGUAAACCGCUUUCAGCAGGGAAGAGUCAAGACUGUACCUGCAGAAGAAGCCCCGGCUAACUACGUGCCAGCAGCCGCGGUAAUACGUAGGGGGCGAGCGUUAUCCGGAUUCAUUGGGCGUAAAGCGCGCGUAGGCGGCCCGGCAGGCCGGGGGUCGAAGCGGGGGGCUCAACCCCCCGAAGCCCCCGGAACCUCCGCGGCUUGGGUCCGGUAGGGGAGGGUGGAACACCCGGUGUAGCGGUGGAAUGCGCAGAUAUCGGGUGGAACACCGGUGGCGAAGGCGGCCCUCUGGGCCGAGACCGACGCUGAGGCGCGAAAGCUGGGGGAGCGAACAGGAUUAGAUACCCUGGUAGUCCCAGCCGUAAACGAUGGACACUAGGUGUGGGGGGACGAUCCCCCCGUGCGGCAGCCAGUGCAUUAAUGCGUCCCGCCGGGGGAGUACGGCCGCAAGGAUAAAAUUAGAAGGAAUUUAAGGGGGCCGGCACAAGCAUCGGAGCAUGUGGAUUAAAUGGAAGCAACGCGAAGAACCUUAUCAGGCCCUGACAUAUGGGUGAAGCGGGGGAGACCCCGUGGCCGAGAGGAGCCCAUACAGGUGGUGCAUGGCUGUCGUCAGCUCGUGUCGUGAGAUGUUGGGUUAAGUCCCGCAACGAGCGCAACCCCCGCUGUGUGUUGCCAUCGGGUGAUGCCGGGAACCCACGCGGGACCGCCGCCGUCAAGGCGGAGGAGGGCGGGGACGACGUCAAGUCACCAUGCCCCUUAUGCCCUGGGCUGCACACGUGCUACAAUGGCCGGUACAGAGGGAUGCCACCCCGCGAGGGGGAGCGGAUCCCGGAAAGCCGGCCCCAGUUCGGAAAAGGGGGCUGCAACCCGCCCCCAUGAAGUCGGAGUUGCUAGUAAUCGCGGAUCAGCAUGCCGCGGUGAAUGCGAUCCCGGGCCUUGCACUCACCGCCCGUCA